rnacentral:rRNA from 1 species
GACGAACGCUGGCGGCGUGCCUAACACAUGCAAGUCGAACGGAAAGGCCCUGCUUUUGUGGGGUGCUCGAGUGGCGAACGGGUGAGUAACACGUGAGUAACCUGCCCCUGACUUUGGGGUAACUUCAGGAAACUGGGGCUAAUACCGCAUAGGAUCUCCUGUUGCAUGGUGGGGGUUGGAAAGUUUCGGCGGUUGGGGAUGGACUCGCGGCUUAUCAGCCUGUUGGUGGGGUAGUGGCUUACCAAGGCUUUGACGGGUAGCCGGCCUGGGAGGGUGACCGGCGACAUUGCGACUGAGAUACGGCGCAGACUCCUACGGGAGGCAGCGGUGGGGAGUAUUGCACAAUAGGCGGAAGCGAGAUGCAGCAACGCCGCGUGCGGGAUGACGGCCUUCGGGUUGUGAACAACUUUCGCCUGUGACGAGGCGUGAGUGACGGUAAUGGGUAAAGAAGCACCGGCUAACUACGUG